rnacentral:piRNA from 4 species
GGCUCUGUGGCGCAAUGGAUAGCG